rnacentral:miRNA from 15 species
CCUUUUCUAUACAUGGUACUGG